GGCAGCCUGAGCGCUACCCGGGUUAUCAAAGCUCACAAAGCCUGGAGAACGAAGGGAAAAAGAUGGAGACAGAGAGAGGACGACAGGUUAGCACCAGAUGGAUGAUAAGGUGACAUAUCUGACAGACUCACCUUCUCUCUGCUGCUGAGGGAUGAUGGGAGGCGGCUGAGGAAAGGCCUGGCUGAUCUGUCCAUAUGCAGCGGGGAAGGCUGCUGAGACACACACACACCACACACACACACGCCCAUGUGUCAGAUAACACACACACGCUUCACACUUCUAAUUCCAGCACACAUACACAGCGCAUGUACAUUUCAUUAACUGGGAAGCAGGAAAAUCACAAACGCCUCCAUUGAGUGACAGACCUGCAUACUGUUGGACUCCAGCGUAGGCCUGCUGUAGGGGGUCUGCUGCGGUGGGACUCUGAGCUGCCAAAGGAAAGAGAUGAGAGCGUUACAGACACAGUCGGGGUCAGUGAGUGCACCUGAGUGUGUUCGGGGAGAGCUGUGCACCGAGAAUGAUCUUACCUCACUUCCCUCCCCCUCACCGUUCAACCCCAAACAAUUAAGCCGAGGCGUUCGCACGGGGCCCUGCCAAGUUUCCCCGCUGGCCAAGUGUUGGAAAGACAGCCAGAGAGUGUACAGAGAACAAUAUAGAUCUAUAGCUCUACACUGCACAUCAAUCAGCUGAGAGCUUUCACAGUAAUAAAGGCAACUCAGGCCCGGCCGGCAACGCUACUGUUCUAAACACUGAUACACAUACUCGCAGCCUGAUAACUUAACGCUGCUAAAACACUAACGCGGUAAACACUGAAGCAUCCCCGCUCAGUAUUGUGUGCUUGGGGCUCAUUUGAUGGACUUGUGAGUAAUAUUACACUUAAAAGCAGGGAGAAUUCAGCCGAAAAUGAACAUCCUGUCAUCAUUUACUCACUCUCAUGUCGUUCCAAAUCUGUAUGAACAUAAAAGAUGAUGAAGAUGGCCUAAAUUACACUGGCACUCUGGAA